rnacentral:rRNA from 1 species
CGAACGGGUGAGUAAUGCGUGACCAACCUGCCCCAUGCUCCAGAAUAGCUCUUGGAAACGGGUGGUAAUGCUGGAUGCUCCAACUUGACGCAUGUCUUGUUGGGAAAGUGUUUAGUGGCAUGGGAUGGGGUCGCGUCCUAUCAGCUUGUAGGCGGGGUAAUGGCCCACCUAGGCUUCGACGGGUAGCCGGCCCUGACGAGGGCGGACGGGCCACUAUUGGGUACUGAGAUACGGGCCCGAGACUCCUACGGGAGGCAGCAGGU